rnacentral:lncRNA from 1 species
AGAUCGACGAAGCAUACAUCAGUUUGUAUAUAUUCAGUUAUUAGCGCCAUGGAAUGCAAGACAAAGCGAGAUUAAACAUGGUGGUUUAGUGUGCGUGCGUACGUACCCCGGGAGCAGCGCUUGGCGAGGGCGAGCCUCUGCUCCAGGUGAGCACGGGUCACCGUCGUCGACAUUGUCGAGCAAGAUCGAUGGAGCUGAGAAGAAACUAGUCCUGAAGUGAAGUAGCUGGGAGGUGGAGAGAAUCGCCUACUGGUUGGAUCAGUAGUGCUGAGCGAGAUGAGAUGAGAUGAGAUUGAAGAGGAGGGGGUCUGGAUUUAUAGGCGAGAGAAUGCGAUCAUCGGAUGAUGCGAAGGCAGCAAGGUGGGGGAGCACGCACGCACCAAGGAGAGGAGACGACCAUGGUUUUGAGGUGAAAACCACGAGUGGUUGCAUAUGCUGGAGUGGUCGGUGGCACUGUGCUCGAUCUGCCCCCUGUUGAGGAUGGAUUCUAAUCUAAUCUCUCGGGUGGACGUUCACCCGUUUCUUACAUGUCACCUAAAUAAUUAUGAAAAAAUUCUAAAAAAAUUCACAAGAUAGGUUAAUAUGUAAUAUAUCUCUUCACAAACAUGCAAGUUCAAAUUCGACUUCUACAAGUUGUAACAAAAAUAACAAAUCAAACUCUAACUAGUAUACGUAUAUUCACAGUCAAAUUUGUUAUUUUUGUUAUAAUUUUUAGAAGUCUUGUUAUUUUUGUUAUAAUUUUUAGAAGUCGAAUUUGAACUUACAUAUUUGUGAAGUGAUAUAUUAUAUAUUAACCUAUCAUGUCAAUUUUUUUUAAAAUUUUUCAUAACUAUUUAAAUGACAUGCAAGAAACGGAUGUACGUUCACCCAAGUAUUUAAAAGAGUUUCCCGCACCCUGUUUUCUCUGACGUACUUCUCCACUCCACGUACGUAUGUAUGUGCUCCGUACAUGCCUUCUUUUCAGUAGAUCCUGAACAUUUUCAGAGUUAAAAAGAAAAGAGUAUUAUCGGUUUUACUGCCAAAAGAAAAACUUUUCAGAGUCGAAAUGAAUCUGAGCGGCACGUGGCAGGUGACAUUGGCCGGUUUGUCAGCCUGCCUGAUUAUCUUUAAGAGCAAAUUUAAUGGUAUAGCUAACUUAUUAUUUAUUAGCUUAUACUACUUGAGCUAAUAUGUAUAAUAAGUUAACCAUGUCUAACUAACUUAUUUGACAAUGCAGUGCUAAAAUAAAUAUUAAAUUAAAUAUGUGUUAAUUAUAGAUUAAUUAGGAUUAAUAGAUUUAUCUCAUAAAUUAGCCUCUAUCUGUGUAAUUAGUCUAUAUUUAAUACUUUAAAUUAGUGUCUAAACAUCCGAUGUGAUAGAGACUAAAGUUUAGUCUUUGUAUUCAAACACCCCCUCAAGAUGAUGCAUGCGUGUGCACUAUGCUAGCGUGCCCUCGGUUUUGGGUCGAUCGAUGAGCUGCAUUUUCCUUAAAAAAAAAAGCUAUCCUAUAAAUAUAUCUAAAAAAAUUAUUAUUCUUUUCGUGGCGCUAACAUAAUUGACAUCAUGAUCCAACAUGACGGUGGUCACGGCGCUAACAACAUUGGCACUAUCUCCCUUCACAUUAGUGAUUUAGAUUUCACUGAGGGGCUAUGGGGAUAGCGUCAACGUCAUUAACGUCUUCACGUUGGACCACGGCGCCAAUAACAUUGGCGCCACAAAAACAACCAUUUUUAAAAUAAGUUUUCUUAGGGGUAUAUUUGUAGAAUAAGUUUUCUAAAUGGUAGGAAGGUUUGAUAAUCAGCUUUCGAGAAUUUACAGAAAUUGGGUUUCCCAGCUUCUAUUUCUAGUUUAUUUUCUGAAUUUUUUAACUACAGCUUUUGAGAAUAUGGAUGAAAAGCUAACUAUAUAUAUGAGGGAGUUUUUGAUUUUAGCAGAAGCUGGACUGUUUGUGCUGAUAUGCUAGUGAUAGGAAUUGGUGACGGAAUUAGUCAAAUCGAUUCAACACUCGCAUACGCAUGCAUUAGGGUUCGAGUUGGACACCGCCGAAUUUUUACUCAUGUUUUACUUGAUCCGAUUCAUAGAUUUUUCGGAGAUAUGGAGACCCGGCCGUCAUGUGUACGUACUGAACCGGCACUUUUUGUUCUCUGAAGAAGAACAAGGUAGGGUGAAGCCAGCCAGCCACAGUAAACAGCUGAAUUUUGUAUAGUAGCAUUUGAACGGCACCCGUGAACAACCAUGCAUGAUUCAUGCACACGAAUGCGACGACCAUCGUGACGCGUUGUGUUGUGAUUUUGCCGUCAGUUUUGGUCUGAAUCCGUGGAUGUGUGCCGCUCGGUUGCCGGCAGUUUUCGCUCUGACGAACGCGACGCGACCGCGAAAACGCUCCUAGUUUUCGGGCGAAACCGGUUCAGUCAGCAGCAGCAGCAGCAGCAACGUCGAUUCUGUGAGCUGCGUGUAUGGCCACCAGCAUAUUUUAUAGGCUGUCAGGUUGCCGUGGGCCCACCUGUCAGGCCGGCACUGUAUGUAUAUACGUACAUUGUGCAAGUACUAUACGUAGCUCUAGUACACGUAUUGCCAGUAGAGAAAACUACAGUUAUACUCUCACCUUGCCUCAAAACUGACUGUAAAAUUUCUUAACUUUUCUCCCCCAAAAAGAUAACCGUAAAUUAAAUCUGAAGGGCAACUAAACAUCUUGGCCCUUGUGUUUUCUGAAACAGGAUAGAUCGAUCAGUCGAUGGCAUGAGCGCCGCCGGUUUGUGGGCGAUCGGCACCAUCACACCAGCAGCUAGCAUUACCGUCCUGUCCACUUCUUGUAUCAUGUCUGAAGAUAAUCUCUCCAUCUGUGUGGGGGCUCUCUGCAUCUAUCUGUGUCUUUUUUUAGCGCACAAAAGUCGAAAGCAGGAUAAGAAAAGCUGUUCGCUCUCUGCGUUGCUUGAUGGGGCCGACGUCGCAUGAUUGCAGUAUGGCGUUGUGCGCCGCAAUCUAAAUUUCUCCGCAGCUGAUAUUAAUCACCUGUUUGUGCUUCGACCAAGAGUCAUCUUCAUCUAAUAGCUUUCUGUUCGGUAGAUGGGUGAAGAUUGUCUGUAAUUAACUUGCUCAAAUGUGCUGGCUAGCUAAUUACUCUGAAAUGCCCAUGUAGGGCUAAUUCCUAUGAUAUUCUCUCUGUAACAAGUAUCUGCAACUUCCAUAUCAUUUUUCUUGUAUAGAUACAUAUGAGAGUUAGUAGUAGUUCUUUUUUUUUUACACAGUUACUUCUUAUACUUGAGAGUAGUUCACAGGCUGACAGACAGUUUCUAAUUUGUUGGCGUCGUUGGAAGAGCAAGAAACUUGUAGAAUGCACAUGAACCACAAAACCACCACAUCAAUGUAAUUCGUUCUCAAGUUCAAAAGAUUUGUUUAUUAGUACUACAAACUGGAGAUACAGACAUACAGUAUACUACAUCGAUCCAAGUACACAGCAAACACUUUCUGAAGCAGCAGCUAGCCUAGCAAUGCAAGCAGCAUUUUUUUUUUCUAUAGCUAGUUGAUUAGGAGAAAUUCAUGGCCUGAAGAAGGCAGGGUGAGGGCGGCCGGCGCCCUGGAAGGAGGUGUUCUUGAGGUGCUCCGGUGCGUUCUCGAAGGAGUGCCUCCUCGCCAGCGAGAGGAUCUUCUUGUCGGCGGCCACGAAGUAUGCCAUCCCGGCCGCCGUGCAGAUGAUCAGCGCCUGCCCCGUCGGGUUGAUGUUCGCCUUCGCCCAUGGCAGCAUCCUCACGCUCGCCAGCUGAUCGAUGAAACAACACAUAAAAUGUGCUCUAAGUUAGUACUCCUACUCUGCUAAUGAAGAACUGACACGAGAAAAAGGGCUAAUUAAUCCUAGCGUAGCAUGAUCUGAGAUAGUAGACACUUACGGUUGGAACGGCGGAGGCGAUGGUCGCAACGGCAGCCGCCUUAACCCCUGCAAUGUUCGCCUCUGCAGGUAUUAUGCAUCAGUUUAUAUUCAGUUAGGUGCCAUGGAAUUCAAUUAACGCAAAGACGAAGAACAUUGUAGGAGUAGUUGAUGACUUCGUAUACGUACCACGCGAGCAGCGCUUGGCCAGGGCGAGCCUCUGCUCCAGGUGAGCACGGGUCACCGUUGCCAUCGCGAUCAAGACGAUGAUGGGAUGGGAGCUGAAGAGAAAGUCUGAAGCGAAGGAGGUGAUUAACCCAAGGAGAUCGAGGAGUACUGGCUACUAGUUUGAUCGAGAGUGAGUUGAGAU